UCCUGUGUGGCUCAGUCGGUAGAGCAUGGCACUUGCAAUGCCAAGGGUCAUGGGUCCGAUUCCUGCGGGGG
rnacentral:tRNA from 1 species